GUCUGGUGGCUCAGAUGGUAAGGAAUUUGCCUGCAAUGCAGAAGACCCAGGUUCAAUCCCUGGGUUGGACA
rnacentral:tRNA from 1 species